UUUACAAUGGAGAGUUUGAUCCUGGCUCAGGAUGAACGCUAGCGGCAGGCCUAAUACAUGCAAGUCGAACGGUGUAGCAAUACACAGUGGCGCACGGGUGCGUAACACGUAUGCAACCUACCUAUCAUUGGGGGAUAGCCUUUGGAAACGGAGAUUAAUACCGCAUAAGACAGUAACAUGGCAUCAUGUAGCUGUUAAAGCUUCGGCGAUGAUAGAUGG
rnacentral:rRNA from 1 species